GACGAACCGUGCAAACGUUAUUCGGAAUCACUGGGCUUAAAGCGUGCGUAGGCGGCUGAGAAAGUUGGGUGUGAAAUCCCUCGGCUCAACCGAGGAAUUGCGCUCAAAACUACUUGGCUUGAGGGAGUUAGAGGUGAGCGGAACUAAUGGUGGAGCGGUGAAAUGCGUUGAUAUCAUUAGGAACACCGGUGGCGAAAGCGGCUCACUGGGACUCUUCUGACACUGAGGCGCGAAAGCCAGGGGAGCAAACGGG
rnacentral:rRNA from 1 species